AUCAAUUUGUUUGAUUACAAUGUCCCAGACCGGGUCAAUGACUUUGUUGCUGCUGCAAUAGCACAGGCUAAUAUAACUCGAACAAAUCAUAUAAUGUGGACCAUGGGAACAGAUUUUAAGUAUCAGUAUUCAGAGACAUGGUUUCGAGAGAUGGACAAGCUGAUCCAUUAUGUUAACAUGGAUGGACGUGUGAAUGCUCUUUAUUCUACCCCAUCCAUAUAUACUGAUGC
rnacentral:misc_RNA from 1 species